CACGUAGGGCGCAAGCGUUGUCCGGAAUUAUUGGGCGUAAAGAGCUCGUAGGCGGUCUGUUGCGUCCGCUGUGAAAACUCGGGGCUUAACCCCGAGCCUGCAGUGGAUACGGGCAGACUAGAGGUAGGUAGGGGAGAAUGGAAUUCCCGGUGUAGCGGUGAAAUGCGCAGAUAUCGGGAGGAACACCGGUGGCGAAGGCGGUCUCUGGGCCUUACCUGACGCUGAGGAGCGAAAGCGUGGGGAGCGAACAGGAUUG
rnacentral:rRNA from 1 species